AAAAUCUGGCAACCUUACAACCUAACCUACCUUCAAAACCAAACAUAUCCCUGUCACGAGGUACCAAAUCAUGUUGGAGUGCACCAUCUGUCAAAUAUUUGAUAAUUCACCGCUUCUCUAGUCACUAUGACACUAUGCAAUAUUCAAAUUCCAAAUAUGCUGAACACAUAUUGAAGGAAAUAUCUGAAUCAGGUACAAUACAAAUAUGGUAGAUAGGUAGCUAUUUAAAUUGUGUGAUACGCAAUGAAAAUUAGUA